GGCGCUGUGGCUUUAGUUGUUCAAAGUGCCUGUCUAGUAACCAGAAGUCCCUGGGUUCAAUUCCCAGCAGUGCUU
rnacentral:tRNA from 1 species